rnacentral:rRNA from 1 species
AUGUCCAUGAUGGGUGAGCUGAAGUUCUUCCUUGGUCUUCAAAUUCGUCAGCAAAGGAAUGGCAUCUUCAUAUCUCAAGAAAAAUACCUCAAAGAUUGUCUGAAGAAGUUUGGAAUGGAAGACUGCAAAGGUUACACGAUGCCAAUGCCAGCCAAACACCAUCUUGGUCUCGACGACAAUGGUAAAGAGUUCGAUCAAAAGGUAUACCGCUCCAUGAUUGGUUCUUUACUUUAUCUAUGUGCAUCUAGGCCAGAUAUUAUGCUUAGUGUUUGCAUGUGUGCUCGAUUCCAAGCGGCACCAAAGGAAUCGCAUCACUUAGCUGUGAAGCGAAUUCUUCGAUAUUUGGCUUACACCCCAACACUCGGAUUAUGGUAUCCCAAGGGCUCAAAAUUUGAUUUGGUUGGAUUCUCGGAUGCUGAUUAUGCUGGUGACAAGGUGGAUCGCAAGUCUACAUCAGGCACAUGUCACUUUCUGGGACGAUCACUUGUCUGUUGGUCUUCAAAGAAGAAGAACUGUGUAUCACUC